UCUCCCCCUAGAUAGUGCAGCCCUCUUUGCUUCUCUUCUCUCCACAUACUGGGAUUGGGAUCUUCUCUCUCCUUUUUUUCUCUAACUUUGUUGGUGUCAUAGCCGGUGUCUCCUUCAUCUUCUCUCUUUCCUUUCCCGAUGUUGGAUGGUCGACGGACAUCUUUUCUUCCUCUCGAAUGGUUACUUUUUUCUCUUCAGCGGCAAGAUGGAAGCUUUCCCUCUCCUCUCUUGGCCAUUGAGAU
rnacentral:lncRNA from 1 species